CUUCUGUCUUCUACCCUUCCCUGAACUUCUGCCUGGCAUGGAGCAGCAGAGGCACAGAAUAUGAGACUCAGAACCCAGAACAGAAACAGAAGCCAGUGGAAACUUUCUGCGAGUGAGGGGCUCCUGUGUUCACCUUCCAGUGUGUUCCCCCACAGUCACCUGCCGAGUCGAGGACAGGCCCUCUCCUCUGCAAUGCUGGGAACAACAAAGGAUGUGAAAGCCCAACAGAAGACCAGAUUUUCAGAAAUGCGGAAGGUGCCACGUUCAGGCAGCCUCCCACGUGCGUGCUCCGGCAAUGCAGGGGACGUGGGUGUCGCUUGAGAACUUCCGGAGCACCCGCUGACGCUGAUGGGCCGGGGAGAAAUGGGAAUUAUGCACUCUGGAAACCCUGGGGACGUGACAGUUAACUCAUUUACAUUGAAAGUUGAACAGAUCUGCCCCAAGUAACAGAUAAACGUAUUGA